rnacentral:lncRNA from 1 species
CUCCUGUUAUUUCUUCAGAAGCGGGGUCUUGUUUCCUUUCUGCUAAGUCUUGAUACAGCACCAUGAAAGAAACAGGGACCAUCUGUAUUCUCAGUAUAAAACUUGCUAUGAAGCCAAUAAGAAUACACGAGAAAGACAUUUGGCUAGAAGCGGAGAGAGGAAAUAAUGAAGAAACUGCAGAGCACCACAGUUUUAGCAGUGGAAAAACCUUUUUCAUAAGGUGAGUUCCACUGUGAAACUGAAACACGAUUUUCAAAUGGGUUCUAAGUUUAACCUAACAGGUUCAGCUAUCCUUUGUGUUUGACACUGAGUGAUGUCAAUAUGUUUUUGAUUUCUUAAGAAAAUAAUACCUUAUUUCUCCCUU